CCCCUGUGAUGAGUUGCCAUGCUAAUACUGAGACACCAGGUAGGGGAUCUUUUCCCUGCAUUGGGUGUUGUUGAGAUAAAUUCUACUUCUCUUAAAUCUACCUGAGGGGC
ensembl:snoRNA SNORD9 small nucleolar RNA, C/D box 9